UACGGAGGGGUUAGCGUUGUUCGGAAUUACUGGGCGUAAAGCGCACGAGGCGGAUCAGAAAGUUGGGGUGAAAUCCCGGGGCUCAACCCCGGAACUGCCUCCAAAACUCCUGGUCUUGAGUUCGAGAGAGGUGAGUGGAAUUCCGAGUGUAGAGGUGAAAUUCGUAGAUAUCGGAGGAACACCAGUGGCGAGGCGGCUCACUGGCUCGAUACUGACGCUGAGGUGCGAAAGUGUGGGAGCAACAGGAUUAGA
rnacentral:rRNA from 1 species